rnacentral:lncRNA from 1 species
CUCCUUCCAACCCUCCCCAGCACAGAGCGUGCCCCCUCCCGAGGAGAAGAAAGAGGGAGCGGGCAGGAACCUUGGUCGAGCAAGGAUAAGGGGAGCCAGAGGGGAGGAGGGGGCGGCGGCUGUUGGGUUGAGCUGAGACACAAAGAGAUGUCCUUCAACCGAGUCCAGGCUGCCUGGUGAUGCAAGGAAGAGGAAGGGGAGAGGGGCAGGGAGUAAGAGGAGAGGGUGAUAAAAGCUGGGCAUAUAUUUGUGGAAGAUGGAUUGAAGAGCAGAGAGCCUGGAAGCAGGGAAACUAAUUAUGAAGCUAUUGCAAUAGUUUAGCCUUGAAAGAGAAGAUGCAAUAGGACAAUUCCAUUCCAUAUUGCUGAAGGAAAAGGUUCUGGGAAGAUAUGAGAGGGGAUGGUGGCCUCCACCAUGUCCCUAUUCACAGUUUGCUG